rnacentral:rRNA from 1 species
GACGAACGCUGGCGGCGUGCUUAACACAUGCACGUCGAGCGGAGCGGCGAACGGGUGAGUAACGCGUGAGUAACUGCCCCCCUCUCUGUGAUAACAGUUGGAAACGGCUGCUAAUACCGGAUAGUGGGUGAUGACUCGCGUCCUAUCAGUUUGUGGUUGGGGUAGUGUCCUACCAAGGCGACGACGGGUAGCCGGCCUGAGAGGGCGACCGGCCACAUUGGGCUGAGAUAAGGCCAAAACUACUACGGGAGGAAGCAGUGGGGGAUAUUGCACAAUGGGGGAAAGCCUGAUGCAGCGACGCCGUGUGGGGGAUGAAGGCUUUCGGGUUGUAAACCUCUUUCGCUAUCGAAAGGGUAGGUGGAGAAGAAGCGCCGGCUAACUACGUGCCAGCAGCCGCGGUAAUAC